rnacentral:rRNA from 1 species
UACGUAGGAUGCAAGCGUUAUCCGGAAUCAUUGGGCGUAAAGCGUUCGUAGGUGGUGCAUCAAGUUUAUAGUUAAAUCCGGUCGCUCAACGAUCGAAUCGCUAUAAAAACUAAUACACUCGAGAAUGGCAGAGGUAACUGGAAUUCCACAUGUAGGGGUAAAAUCCGUUGAUAUGUGGAGGAACACCAAAAGCGAAGGCAGGUUACUGGGCCAUUUCUGACACUGAGGAACGAAAGCGUGGGGAG